UGGGGAAUAUUGGACAAUGGGGGCAACCCUGAUCCAGCAAUGCCGCGUGAGUGAUGAAGGCCUUAGGGUUGUAAAGCUCUUUCGGCGGGGACGAUGAUGACGGUACCCGCAGAAGAAGCCCCGGCUAACUUCGUGCCAGCAGCCGCGGUAAUACGAAGGGGGCUAGCGUUGUUCGGAAUUACUGGGCGUAAAGGGCGCGCAGGCGGUCCUUCAAGUCAGAUGUGAAAGCCCCGGGCUCAACCUGGGAACUGCAUUUGAGACUGAGGGACUUGAGGACGGGAGAGGAGAGUGGAAUUCCCAGUGUAGAGGUGAAAUUCGUAGAUAUUGGGAAGAACACCAAUGGCGAAGGCAGCUCUCUGGACCGUACCUGACGCUGAGGCGCGAAAGCGUGGGGAGCAAACAGGAUUAGAUACCCUGGUAGUCCACGCCGUAAACGAUGUGUGCUAGACGUUGGGAGACCUAGUCUCUCGGUGUCGCAGCUAACGCUUUAAGCACACCGCCUGGGGAGUACGGCCGC
rnacentral:rRNA from 1 species